rnacentral:rRNA from 1 species
UACGAAGGGGGCUAGCGUUGCUCGGAAUCACUGGGCGUAAAGCGCACGUAGGCGGGCUCUUAAGUCGGUGGUGAAAUCCUGGAGCUCAACUCCAGAACUGCCUCCGAUACUGGGAGUCUUCGAGUCCGGGAGAGGUGAGUGGAACUGCGAGUGUAGAGGUGAAAUUCGUAGAUAUUCGCAAGAACACCAGUGGCGAAGGCGGCUCACUGGACCACUACUGACGCUGAGGCGCGAAAGCUAGGGGAGCAACCAGG